rnacentral:rRNA from 1 species
AACACAUGCAAGUCGAGCGAUAUAGCGGCGAACGGGUGAGUAACACGUUGGAACCUGCCCCGGACUCAGGGAUAGCCCACCGAAAGGUGGAUUAAUACCGGAUGGUCCCGCAAGGGUAAAGCUUUUGCGGUCCGGGAGGGGCCUGCGCAGUAUCAGUUUGUUGGUAAGGUAACGGCUUACCAAGACUACGACGCUUAACUGGUCUGAGAGGAUGAUCAGUCACAAUGGAACUGAGACACGGUCCAUACUCC